UGUAAAUUUGGAGGUGCAAUCCCUGUGACGU
rnacentral:piRNA from 1 species